GAACUAAAGAGUUUGAUCCUGGCUCAGAUUGAACGCUGGCGGCAUGCUUUACACCUGCAAGUCGAACGGUAACAGGCCGCAAGGUGCUGACGAGUGGCGAACGGGUGAGUAAUGCAUCGGAACGUGCCCAGUCGUGGGGGAUAACGCAGCGAAAGCUGCGCUAAUACCGCAUA
rnacentral:rRNA from 1 species